GAAAGAUUUUGAGCUAAUUUAUGUAAAGUAUAUAGCUUACAAUUAAUAUGUUACAUAAUAUUGAAUAUAAAAUAAAUUAGGGGUGAUAGGCUUUUCAAAUUUUCAGAUAACUUGAUAUGUCAAAAAAAUAUAAAGUAUAAAAGCAAUUAAAAAAUGUUAAGGUUUUUUAAUAACAUAAAGUAAAAUAAGCAGUUUAACAUAUAGCUUAAUAGUUUAUGUUAUUUCAUUAAUAUUAUUAAAUAUUGUGCGUUUAUGGUAUGUAGUACAUUAUAUGUAAAUUUAAUAGAAUAUUAAUUAUGUUGAUAUUAGUAUUUAGGUAGUCCCUUUUAAGGAACUCGGCAACUUAUUUCUCAUCUGUUUAACAAAAACAUAACUAAGUGAAAAAAUACUUAGCAUGUCCUGCUCCAUGAGAGAAUUAAAUAGCCGCAGUACUUUGACUGUGCAAAGGUAGCAUAAUCAAUUGACUUAUAAUUGAAGUCUAGAAUGAAAGGAUGCAUGGGAAAUAACUGUCUAAAAUAGUGUAAAUAGAACUUACUUAAUAAGUGAAAAUGCUUAUAAAGAAAUAAUAGACGAGAAGACCCUUGAAAUUUUGUUUAACAUCUCUAACGAUUAAAAUUUUGUUGGGGCGACAGAAUAGCACCUAACCUAUUCUAUGUUAUUGACAUUUAUAUAAGGUAAUAAUAAAUUACUCUAGGGAUAACAGCAUAAUUUUUUAAAAGAUUGUGACCUCGAUGUUGGACUAGGAUAU
rnacentral:rRNA from 1 species